rnacentral:rRNA from 1 species
AUUGAACGCUGGCGGCAUGCCUUACACAUGCAAGUCGAACGGCAGCACGGGAGCAAUCCUGGUGGCGAGUGGCGAACGGGUGAGUAAUAUAUCGGAACGUGCCCGGUCGUGGGGGAUAACGUAGCGAAAGCUACGCUAAUACCGCAUACGAUCUACGGAUGAAAGCGGGGGAUCGCAAGACCUCGCGCGAUUGGAGCGGCCGAUAUCAGAUUAGGUAGUUGGUGAGGUAAAGGCUCACCAAGCCGACGAUCUGUAGCUGGUCUGAGAGGACGACCAGCCACACUGGGACUGAGACACGGCCCAGACUCCUACGGGAGCAGCAGUGGGAAUUUUGGACAAUGGGCGCAAGCCUGAUCCAGCAAUGCCGCGUGCAGGAUGAAGGCCUUCGGUUGUAAC